rnacentral:rRNA from 1 species
GACGAACGCUGGCGGCAUGCCUAAUACAUGCAAGUCGAACGGAGAUACUUGAAGGAAGGUUUCGGAUGGAAUUUGAGUAUUUUAGCGGCGGACGGGUGAGUAACGCGUGAGUGACCUGCCUUCCACAGGGGGAUAACGUACCGAAAGGUACACUAAUACCGCAUGAGACCGCAGCACUGCCUGGUGCAGGGGUCAAAGGAGCAAUCCGGUGGAAGAUGGACUCGCGUCCGAUUAGAUAGUUGGUGGGGUAACGGCCUACCAAGUCAGCGAUCGGUAGCCGACCUGAGAGGGUGAUCGGCCACAUUGGAACUGAGAGACGGUCCAUACUCCUACGGGAGGCAGCAGUGGGGAAUAUUGGGCAAUGGGGGAAACCCUGACCCAGCGACGCCGCGUGAGGGAAGAAGGUUUUCGGAUUGUAAACCUCUGUUCUUGGUGAAGAGGGAAAGACGGUAGCCAAGGAGGAAGCCCCGGCUAACUACGUGCCAGCAGCCGCCGUAA